rnacentral:rRNA from 1 species
AUUGAACGCUGGCGGCAGGCCUAACACAUGCAAGUCGAGCGGAUGAAGGGAGCUUGCUCCUGGAUCCAGCGGCGGACGGGUGAGUAAUGCCCAGGAAUCUGCCUGGCAGUGGGGGAUAACGUCCGGAAACGGGCGCUAAUACCGCAGACGUCCUGAUGGUGAAAGUGGGGGAUCUUUGGACCUCACGCUAUCAGAUGAGCCUAGGUCGGAUUAGCUAGUUGGUGGGGUAAAGGGCUACUAAGGCGACGUUCCGCAACUGGUCUGAGAGGAUGAUCAGCCACACUGGAACUGAGACACGGUCCAGACUCCUACGGGAGGCAGCAGUGGGGAAUCUUGGGCAAUGGGCGAAAGCCUGAUCCAGCCAUGCCGCGUGUGUGAAGAAGGUCUUCGGAUUGUAAAGCACUGUAAGUUGGGAGGAAGGGCAGUAAGUUUAUCCCUUGCUGUUUUGACGUUACCAACAGAAAAAGCCCCGGCUAACUUCGUG